rnacentral:rRNA from 1 species
AGUGAACGCUGGCGGCAGGCCUAACACAUGCAAGUCGAGCGGCAGCGCGGGGCAACCUGGCGGCGAGCGGCGGACGGGUGAGGAAUGCAUCGGAAUCUACCCUGUCGUGGGGGAUAACGUAGGGAAACUUACGCUAAUACCGCAUACGACCGAGAGGUGAAAGUGGGGGACCUUCGGGCCUCACGCGAUUGGAUGAGCCGAUGCCGGAUUAGCUAGUUGGUGGGGUAAAGGCCCACCAAGGCGACGAUCCGUAGCUGGUCUGAGAGGAUGAUCAGCCACAUUGGGACUGAGACACGGCCCAAACUCCUACGGGAGGCAGCAGUGGGGAAUAUUGGACAAUGGGCGCAAGCCUGAUCCAGCCAUGCCGCGUGUGUGAAGAAGGCCUUCGGUUGUUAA